GAACUACUUAAAAAUAUACGUCGUUAACCGACGCAGUGGAAGCCCCGCCCACCUGCGUAACGUCCGCGUCCAGUUGAAUUCCAACUGCGCCAUUUUUCUUCACCUGAAAGAACUGCCGCCUUCAACGGUCAGGGAUGAGCACCCUCCUCUCCUCUUGUGGCUGUAUCAAGCACGCGCUCAAUUAGCAUCGCAUGGGAAGCACGUGCCAGCGUUUCCAGCCCGCCCCUCCCUGGCCGCCUCCUCCCCGCGUGCAUCCGCAACAGACACGCUCGCCUCCAGGAGCUCAGCGCUGCCCUUAACAGGUGGGCCGAGGCGAGGCGGGGCUGGGACGGAGGCAUCUGUCAACAAACUCUGCAUCCGUCCUCCUCCACUGUACUACCUCUCCAUCUGCCCAGAGAGGAGGCAGCCAGGGCGAGGAGGAAGGUCAAUAAUGUAAUGAUGUAACGAUGAAACUGGCCCGUGCUGUUUGUUUUAGGGCGUUUUUUGUUUGUUUUAUCUUCAUAAAUCACCAUGUCAGGCCUCUAACUGCCUUAUAGAUGGACAUGAAUGGAGUUAUGUAAGGUUUUAUACACUGUAUGUUGUUUCCUGAAAAGCACGCAGAGGCCCCUUGACCUUUGACCUCUGUAUUGUAGCACCAGUACAGGAGAGGUUUGGCAGUUGAGCUCACUGCUUGUCUCACUUAUUGGACUGUUGGCACUGAUGUAAACUUAAUUCAAACUGUUAAUUUAAGGUAUAUCUAUUUAAGGUAGUUGUUUUUAUUAAUAUAUAUUAUAAACAGGGUGUGUGUGAGUGUGUGUGUGUGUGUCAUAUGCAGCUGAAAGUAAAUUUGUCUGUUUGUCAAAUACAGAUAUUGGCAGGAUGUGUUUGAUUGGUUUGACCAAGUUCUGGGAUAAAGUUAGUGGAAAGUGUUUCACCUUAUUUGAGUGUGAAAGUUAAUUAGGAAGCUGAAGGAACUUGAUCCUCUAAAGAAUCAAGAUCGAGAUGAUAUCUUGAUUAAAAACUCUACAAAAUAAGUGAUUAAUAGAGAUCCACAUAUAGACAUUGGUUCCAAUCAAUCCUAGAUUAUGAUCGAUUUCCGUCCACCAUCCAAUUCAAGAAUUGACCCGAGCAACAAAGUCCAGUAACACUGUAAGUUAAGAUGACAUUUUAUAAUAACAUCAUAAUUAAUUGUAAUAUAUUGUGAGUUAAACAUUAGUUGAUAGUUAUUUCACUGUUAACAAACAAUUAAAUGCUUUUUAAACCAUGUAAAAAGUAUUUGUUUGUUAAGUGCAACUUGCAUCGAUAACACUUGUUAAUUGUCAAUUACCAAGAGGUAAAUAGUUAAUUAACACUGUGUAGUUCAUCUACAAACUUUAUUUCGAUGGCUCUUUACAAUUUCACCACAGCAUUUUUUAUUUUUUUUUUUUUAACAUUUCAGUAACUGUUUACUAAAGUUUAAUUAACUAUAAAUGUGCCAUUUAUUGAUGUUGGUAAUUACAAAGUGUUACAGAUGAAAUAUGUUUGCGGUCAUUGUUUAUGUAGUUAUAAACUUUAACUCUGCCUCCUCCUCGCUCUCCUAUAGCUUCCUCCACGAAGCGUCACUCACUCAGCUGUUUGCGUCAAAUGCUUUUAGUUGCCUGCCAGCUUAUGGAUGUAAAUUUGGCCAUUAAAUGCAUGUAAUCUGUUAUUACAACAUCUCCCUUUUGCUCUUAUAAGGAGAUUUAUGAUUUUUUUUUUUUUUUUUUGCUGCUAAUGGUCUGUUCUCAUAAGGGCAGGAGUGCUUUGUUGGCUGGAUGUCCACUGUCGACAUAAUCCAGGGUCGUAAGGUCCUGAAGCUAAAUGGAUGCUUUGGAAAAAAAAAAACGAAAGAAAGAAACAUUAACUAGGCAUUACCUUUAUGUAAAAUACUAAUUCUCUUGAUAGCAAUUCAUUAUUUUUUUUUUUUUUUCUACAUAUGCUGGAUUUUCUUUAAACCUGUAAUCAGCUUUCUGCUUUAUGUCCGUGUGUGUGUUUGUGUGUGUGUUUAUGUGCAGCAUAUGUGUGUGUUCAGGGUGCUGUGUUUCCUGAAAUGACAAUAUCUAAGUAUUAUUAAUAUUUUGGCUCACAUGUGUAACUCCGAGCCAUAUGGUGGAGACGCCCAGCUCAAAUCCCAGCACCACUCAAACGUCAUUUAGUUGAAAGUUUAUGUAGCUCUGUAAGAGGUUUGCACACAGUCGUAACAGGCUCAAGUCUUGGAAAUCAGUUAAUUCUACAUACAUUUUGUGAUGAGUUAUGAUUUGCUGAGAUAAAUGUAAAGAUUAUCACACAAAUCAGAUGCAUUUUUUUAUGAUUUUUAGAGCGGUACUGCGCCUCAUCAUGGAGCUUCUCUCAGCCUGAAGGGUUUAUUCCACUCAAAAAGAUGAUUUAAGAGAAAUCAAACAACGUUUAAUUGAAUUUAAAAGGACUUGAGAUAAUGUAAGGAUAUACGCAUCAUAGCCCCUGGCCUGCUCUCACUGACGAGCUAUAAAUGUGUGAUGGUUUCAUCCCGUGUAAAAAUGAUUUUGUGUUUGGCAGUGUCCCUCACAUGAAAAUUGAAAACAUGCAUGCAGCACAGAAAAUAGCAUUGACAGACGGCAACAGCAGAUAUUAUUACCGGAGAAGCUCUCAGGAGGUCCAGUUAGGAAGUGUUUUCAUUACAGUUUCCAUCAUAAACUGGAAACGAGCCAAACAAACCAUGUUAUAAACAUGUUAGACUCAACCCUGCUUUUAUUUACAGUCAUUAGGCGUGUGUUUGACCAGCCGUGUGUUACAUCAAAUAUAGUUGAGUUUAACAUUUUCAUACUCACGUCUGUGAAAACUUUGCCUUCAUUUGCGAUCAUUUGAUUGUGUCCUGAUUAAUCACCAUGGACAUGCAGUGGCCUCCUCAAAAAACCUUGACAUAAAGAAUAUACUAAAAAUCAGAAGGACAAUAAUCAGUAUUUAAGGCACACAUUAAAUAUCACACACAUAAUUUGAUAACUUUGUAUUUACUGAACUUCAGCGGAAGAACUUAAAGUACAAGUUAAAGCCACGUACACCUGAAUGCUUCACUUCUGGAUACUUCAUACAACUUCAGUACAUGUUACUCCACAUUUACAUUUACUGGUUAUGUUUAAGAUUAAAGUUUCACAAUUUUGAACAAAUGAUAUUCUUCCAGUGGGCUCUAAUGUUAGAGUACUGUCUGUGAUCCCUUGUCACAUCAGAUGUCUAUAAGUUGACAGAUAACAGUUCCCUCAAAGUGUCACUUCCCCUCUAAGAUUCUCAGAUUGUUUCAUUUAACCACCUGUUUAAAGGCCCGAAUCGGUAAAAUAAUGUAAUGUCUCACACAACAUUUCGUCUUCUGAGCCUUCAGAGAGGGCCAGACUGUUAAGUGGGAACUCACUGCACUAAACUGUAUUAAAUAGUAGUAAAGAUAGCUCCAUUAGAGUAUUUUUGACAUUGUUUUAUCGUGCUUGUACUUCAGUAAAGGAUCUAAACACUUCUUCCACCACUGCUGACCUUUUUCUGCUCACAGCCUUCAUCUUCGUCCCAAUGAUAUUGUUUGACUACUUAAAUGAAGUGGCUUUUUUUAGUGAAAGAAACUGAGAACCGAUUAUUAGCGUUACGCCGGCUCUUGCUCUGUCCUCUGUUAAAAUUUGACUCUGUAUGUAAAACCACUGAUCGGAAGCUGUAAACGAAAAGCCUCUAAACACGAGUUCAGCGGCGCCGACUUUAAAGUUACCCCCCCCCCCCCCGGUCGAGUGUUUGGAGCAAUUAAAAGAACAUUUUGCGACGCUUUAAGUCCCAUUAAAACAUCACAUGGUAACAUUUAGCAUGCGCAUCUGAUAGAAUUGAGUCUAAUCUCAUCAAAUUGUGUAAUCCACGAGAUGAAAUCACUCUAAACAUUACACGGCUUAACACAGAUAGAGAGGGUCAGGAAGAGUUAAGGCUGCGUACUUGUUUUUUUUUUUUUUUAACCAUUUACCAUAUUCCUCAACCGCCAGUCUGACGGGAGUACAGGAACACUAUUGUUUCAUUCAUUCAAAUGAGAUUCCAUGACUGUUGUUGUUGCAGAUGAAUUAUGUAUGUGUUGAUAUGUGAUAGACAUCGUCUCUCGGGGAAUGUAGGACACAUGCUCAUGCAUAACAAUAGCCUUCAGUUGUAUUCUCACCAACAAAUUGGCCGUUUAUCUCCCGUGUUCUUGUCUUCAUAAAAGCAACUAUAUUCAGUUCGUCUCCUGCUUGUUUUAACGCAACACGCUGUCGAGAGAGAUCAGGUCCAGGUGGCGGUUGCUAUAUUCAAAUAAGCCGGACUGUUGCCCCGAUGCCCCAGAACUUUCACUAAUUCUUCUUGAAAACAAAACAAAGUCAGAUGUCUUGUCAGUGACAUUGUACAGCUGGUAAUAGCAUUAGCCUAUUUAAAUAAUCUCUGAUAGGCUUGUUUGAAUCAUGAAUUGCUCUUCGGGAACAUUUCUCGAUGUUUCGUGCCUCUCGUCUCUCUCCCUCUCCAGUCUCCAGACAAUAAUCGACAUAUUUGGGCUCAUUGUGUUGGUUUGACUCAAGCAACAGUCACUGUCCAUAAGCUGACUACAAAAAAAAAAAAAAAGAGAGAGAGCGCUGCAGGAUGAAGGAUGAUACUCAGGCAAUCUGCAGCAUAUUCACAUUUAAAUUAGCCGGUACUGAUGUGGAGACAGUUGGAUUUACGUGCUCAGAGAUUUCUGUUGUUUUUAAAUAAUAUCGGCGGUAAAGAGAUGAAGACUGUUAGUCUGUAAAGCUCGAGGUUUCAUCAGAGCAGUACGCAGAAAUAAAAUCAAGCUGGUUGUGAGAUGCAGUAUGUAGUUUUGAGGAAGAAACUAAAACUAAGCAUAAAAAAAUGAUUAUGAUUGAUUACUGACUUGUGGAAAAGGACUUGGAUUAAAUAACUGUACACUUCCUCACACUCAUGUCAGUGCGUGUUAAUGGAAUAUUUGUAACAAGCUUUUCAUUUUAUUGUGCUUAUUUGUCGAACUAAUCGAACUUUUGUUUCAUUCAUUCGUUCAUUCAAACAAACUGUCUUAGUUUUCACGACUGAAUAAACGGAAUAAACAAACUGACCUCAGUUUCAUUUCACUUUGUUUACGUGUGGCGGACCCCGCCACCUUUUCUAGCAUCACACAGCAUUCUGGGGACCUUAUUUUCCUCUGAGAACGGUUUGUUUAUUCAGUUAUGAACAAAAUAAGUUUGUGUUAUUGCCUCAUUUAUCUCCUAAAUAUUGAUAUUCUGAGUUUGGAUUUCUUCUCUAUAAAAACACAGAGCCCCUUUAUACAUGAAUACUUCAAAACAGGCACAUAAAUAAACUUGUAAUGUUCCUCAAAUCCAGCUUCAUGUUCAUCUUAUUAUUGAUUCACAUAUAAAGCAACUGUGAAUCAACAUUCCUCAUCUACAGAUUUAUUAUAAGUCAACAACUUGAUCAAUCAUCUGAAUUAAUAGAUGCUUUAAGUUAGUUAAUCCUUCCUUAAGUAUAUGAUAAUUACUCCACAUUUAAAGUGUUAUCAAGCUCAUAUUGUCUGUAUCUGUAAUGAUAGAAUGUCUUAUUAUCAUUAUCAAUAUUAUCACUGUCAUUAUGAAUGUAAAUGUAGUAAUAAAGAGAUAAUAAUCUGUA